AAAAAAAAAAAAAAAACUUACUCAAACUAAACAACAUAGUUACAAGAUGGAUUAUUUGAUAUGUAUUCGACUAGAGAACAAUACACCAACACCGGAGCGUUGUAGCAGCAAUUCUAGCACCACCUUAGGAUCACUUAUCUCCAUCUUUUUUAUAGUAUGAUACAACGGUGUAAAGUGUUUGGAGAACCGCAAGAGAAAACAACAUAACAGCUGCAAACGCCGAAACUGCGGCCCAUGGGCUCGCAAAAUAGAAAGCAACAUAACAGCUGCAAAAGCCGAAACUGCGGCCCAUGGGCUCGCAAAAUAGGUAUGCUUAAACCCGGCCCAGUUUACAUGCCACCCAUUCUUACAAUACUCGUUUAACUCCACAAACAAGUCCUUUAGGUAAUUAUUCUUGAUAUCAAAAGCCACAUCUUUUCCAACCUCAUUGAAGAACUUUGCAACCUCCUUAUCCGUACCAAAAUAAUUCUCAAUAAUCUUAUUGUGCGAAAGCAAACUUACGUCCGCAGAGGUGUUCAUGAGACAACCCAUGAACACAACAUACGUUGUAAUGUCUUUCGUGCAAUGAAAAUAACAUUGCUCGAAAGCCAUACAGUUUAGAAAAAAAGCACUGUAAAAAUCAUCCAUGUUGAUUUGAGGAAUUAAAAGUAGCCCGUCUUGGAAUUUGAUAUCUAAGAAGCUAUCGGCUUGAUGAUUAGCCUUGAACUUGACCCCAGCGGUAACAAGUUUGGUUGCGGGUUUGAUGAGUUUAAGGGAAUGGUUGGGUUUAUCAAUCGCUUCAGGAACAACCAAGUUUCUACUAAUCGAGCUUCUAUUAACCGAGCUUCUAGUAACCGAGUCUCUAUUAUUGUUUAUGAAACUCUUUCUGAAAAAAUCGAGUAAAUGUUUUCCAUCAUGAUUCGCGUACUUCUUUAAAACUUCUUGUGGCCUAUCAACCAUGUAAUUGAAAAACUCUAGGAUUAAAGAUUGAAGUGUACAAUCAUGGUCCUCUUGUUUAGACACUUCAUACAACUUUUGUAGAACGAAAAACGGGAUUUGAUUCUCUAUCCUCAAAAGAUCCCUCAUCAAAAACGGCGAAAUCCAAGCCAUUUUAAAUAUGGGAUCAUCUUGAUGCGCCGGAACCAACUUCCCAACUUUUCGAAACAAUUCAAUCAAGAAAACUCCAUCUAGCACCAUCAUUUUAGCUAGAUCAUUAGAGCCAAGAUCAAUAGACUCCGAGUAGCUAUCUCGAAUUCUAUUCUCCAUUGACCCUAUGUUUUUCAUUAAAAAAUCUAGUUGCUUAUUGGUUCUUGUGAUCAUAUCAUCUAGGAACCUCCAUUUAUGCUCUUGAAUCAUCGCAAGAUCCUUGUUCCCAUAGUGGCAUGGGCCGAUUGAGACAAUUCGAGGUCGAUAUGCUUCUUUGUUGAUUUCAACUAGACUUUGUGGGACUCUAAAUAUGCUACAAGAAUUCUUACCAGCUGAUUUGAGAAGUAACUUUGGUGCUUCUUUCAUUUGCUUCUUCAUGGUUUCCACUUCUUGAUCAAUUGUGAUGACAUGGUUUUGAUUCAUGUUUUUUGGCAUUUUUUGUUUGGUUUCUUUAUUUGGUAUUUGUAAGUGAAUAAAUGUAGCAACUGAAUUGGGGAUAUGAA
rnacentral:lncRNA from 1 species